CCAUGGAGAAGGUCCUCCUGCGUCCCGUCAUGCCCUCUGCCAGAAUCCCGUGAUGCCGCGGGACUGUAGUUGCCCUGUGAUGGAGCGGAUGGUUGUCCGGGGCGGUCUCUUGCUGUUGGCGCUGCUGGGCGCCGGGCUCUGCAACACCCGGCGGCCUGGAGAUGUUGUAGAUUCUGAAAUUGCAGGAGUGUCUAUACUGCUUGAACACUCAUUUGAAUUUGAUGACAGCGUGCAAUAUAAAAAAAGGGGUUCAUUGUUAUGGAGACCAGGCCGUGAAAAUGCCCUCACUCUAAACCAGAUGCAACUGACAGAGGAUGAAAGGAUCAAACUCAGAGAUAUGGCUAGUACAGACGGGUUGUAUCGAAUUAGAAUCCCAAGGAAGCCAGGCAGUGAUAGCCCCACCUUGGAUUAUGUGUCAUCCUUUGUUCGAGUGUGCUCUCUGGUUGAGUCUCACCUCUCUGAUGUGAUCACUGUUAACACAGAUGUGUCUGGCAAUAUAAUCGGUGUUUCCAUAGUAACUGUCCCCGGGUCCUGCAAUGGAGCGGAGGUGGAAGAUGUGGAUUUAGAAGUAUUUAACACAACUGUACACCUCAUGCAACCCGUUCCUGCGUCUGCGCCAGAGACGGCAGCGUUUAUUGAGCGGCUGGAGCACGAACAGGCUCAGAAAGCCAAAAACCCACAGGAGCAGAAGUCAUUCAUCGCCAAAUAUUGGCAUUUAAUUCUGGGCGGGGCCAUCUUUCUCAUGGUUACAAAUUCCAUCAAAGCACCUCGAGAACUAGGAGUGCAAGCAUGACGUCUGCAAAGUAAUGGUGGUUCCCAGUUGUCUUCAGGAGAUUGUGUGCAGUGGCAAGUGAAGUGGAUGUACAUCGUGCCAAUUGUAAUCUUCCUGAUGAUGUCGGGAGCGCAGGAUCCUAACGGAGGGAGCGGUGGUGGUGGCUCCGGUGGAGGCGGGCGGUGACAAAUGCAGGCGAGAGGAAGCAUCGGAAGUUCGAAGUUUUCCCAGAGGAGUGUGGCAUGUUGUAAAUACACAUUAUUUGCUGGACGUUCUCGUGAUCUGGACAACUCAAAACUCACGGCAACAGAGUGAAGUAUGAAUAGCUGAGCUGCACUGUUGUUGAUUUAAAAUAAAGUGACUUGCCACUCA